AUGGCGGAAGGAGGUGAGCGAGAGGAGCUGCUCUCGCCACCGCCGGUCUCUCCGGCCAAGCGCCUGUGCUCGUGGCCCAGUCCGCAGGCUCACUACCCUCGUGGUUCGCCCGGGGCGGCCGGCGGCGGGGUAGGGGGCGUCGGCGGCAGCUGCCUGCCCCUGGGGGCCCGCCCCCACCUGCAGCCCGAGUCCUUGCUGGACUGUGCCGCCAAGACGGUUGCGGAAAAGUGGGCGUACGAGCGGGUGGAGGAGCGCUUCGAGCGGAUCCCGGAGCCCGUGCAGCGCCGCAUCGUCUACUGGUCCUUUCCGCGGAAUGAGCGGGAGAUCUGCAUGUACUCCAGCUUCCAGUACCGCGGCGGCCCUGGCGCCGGCUCGGCUGGCGGCGCCUCGGGGGCUUCGCCGGCCGAGGAGGGGCCGCCGCCACCCCCCGGGGCCGCCACUCCGGCCGGCUCCGCCCCCGGGGCCGCCGCGGCGGGGGCGUCCCCCGGACUGGGCUCAGGGGCAGGAGCCGCCGGCGGCGGUGGUGGCGAGGGGCUCCCAUUCCGCCGGGGCAUCCGUCUGCUGGACAGCGGCUCCGUGGAGAAUGUGCUGCAAGUCGGCUUCCAUCUCAGUGGCACAGUAACUGAGCCGGCCACUACUUCUGAACCAGCAGUGACUUAUAAAGUUGCCAUCAGUUUUGAUCGAUGCAAAAUCACUUCAGUGGCAUGUGGCUGUGGGAACAAAGACAUAUUCUACUGUGCCCAUGUGGUAGCGCUCUCACUCUACAGGAUCCGUAAACCAGACCAAGUCAAACUGCGUCUUCCUAUCUCAGAAACCCUUUUCCAGAUGAAUAGGGACCAGCUACAAAAGUUUAUUCAGUAUUUAAUCACGGCACACCACACUGAAGUUCUUCCUACUGCACAGAAGCUGGCAGAUGAGAUUCUAUCCUCCAACUCCGAAAUCAACCAAGUAAACGGUGCCCCUGACCCCACAGCUGGGGCCAGCAUUGAUGAUGAGAACUGUUGGCAUUUGGACGAGGAACAGGUGAAAGAACAAGUGAAGCUCUUUCUCUCCCAGGGUGGUUACUAUGGCUCUGGAAAGCAACUCAAUUCAAUGUUUGCCAAGGUUCGAGAGAUGCUGCGGAUGAGAGAUUCCAAUGGAGCCAGGAUGCUGACGCUAAUAACUGAGCAGUUUAUGGCUGACCCACGACUCACACUGUGGAGGCAGCAAGGAACAACCAUGACAGAUAAGUGCAGGCAGCUCUGGGAUGAGCUAGGGGCGUUAUGGGUGUGCAUCAUUUUAAAUCCACAUUGCAAAUUGGAGGAAAAAUCCUGUUGGCUGCAGCAACUGCAGAAGUGGAAUGACCUGGAUGUCUGUCCCCUGGAGGAUGGGAACUAUGGGCAUGAGCUGCCCAACAUCACCAACGCACUUCCCCAGAAUGCCAGUCACCGUUCAGAUUCUUUAUCCAGACCAAGACGGACAGUGUUCACUAGAGCCAUCGAGGGCCGUGAAUUGCAUUGGCAGGACAGCCACUUACAGCGAAUAAUCAGCAGUGAUGUAUAUAUAGCUCCUGCCUGCCAGCAGGAAAGUGAGAGACUACUCUUUAAUUCUCAAGGCCAGCCACUGUGGCUUGAGCAUGUGCCUACAGCCUGUGCUCGGGUUGAUGCCCUGCGUUCCCAUGGUUACCCAAAAGAGGCCCUCAGACUCACAGUGGCCAUUAUCAAUACUCUGAGGUUGCAGCAGCAACGGCAGCUGGAAAUCUACAAGCAUCAGAAGAAAGAACUGUUGCAGAGAGGAACCACAACGAUCACAAACCUAGAAGGCUGGGUGGGCCACCCCCUGGAUCCCAUUGGCUGCCUGUUUCUCACUUUGACUGAGGCCUGCCGCCUGAAUGAUGAUGGCUAUCUGGAAGUGUCAGAUAUGAAUGAAAGCAGAGCCCCUGUGUACCAGCAUGUGCCUGUGGCUGCAGGCUGCCCAGACAGCAGUGAGUCCUACCUGUCAUUGGCCAUGGAAGUUGCUCUGAUGGGGAUGGGUCAACAGAGGGUGAUGCCUGAAGGCCUCUACGCACAGGACAAGGUGUGCCGUAAUGAGGAGCAGCUCCUGAGUCGACUCCAGGAGCUGCAGCUGGAUGAUGAGCUAGUGCAAACACUGCAGAAGCAGUGCAUCUUACUCCUGGAAGGAGGCCCCUUCAGCGGUCUGGGAGAAGUCAUCCACCGAGAGAGUGUUCCCAUGCAUACCUUUGCCAAGUAUUUGUUCUCAGCUCUACUGCCUCAUGAUCCAGACCUGUCCUAUAAAUUAGCCUUACGUGCCAUGAGGUUACCUGUUCUAGAAAACUCAACUUCUGCAGGCGACACUUCCCACCCUCACCAUAUGGUAUCUGUGGUGCCCAGCCGUUACCCUCGCUGGUUCACGCUUGGACACUUGGAAUCACAGCAGUGUGAACUGGCCUCCACCAUGCUGACUGCUGCCAAAGGAGACACUCUGAGGCUCCGCACAAUCCUGGAAGCAAUACAGAAGCACAUUCAUUCUUCCUCCCUCAUCUUCAAACUGGCCCAAGAUGCAUUCAAGAUUGCUACACCCACGGACAGUAAUACAGACAGCACCCUGCUCAACGUGGCCCUGGAGCUGGGGUUACAGGUGAUGAGGAUGACCUUAUCAACCCUUAACUGGAGGCGCCGGGAGAUGGUGCGGUGGUUGGUGACAUGUGCUACAGAAGUGGGUGUGCAGGCCCUGGUGAGCAUCCUGCAGAGCUGGUACACACUCUUCACCCCCACCGAGGCUACCAGCAUUGUGGCUGCCACAGCCGUAUCCCACACCACUAUCCUGCGCCUCAGUCUUGACUAUCCACAGCGGGAGGAGCUGGCUAGCUGUGCUCGCACGCUGGCCCUGCAGUGUGCUAUGAAGGAUCCACAGAGCUGCGCCCUAUCGGCCCUUACACUCUGUGAGAAGGACCACAUCGCCUUUGAAGCAGCCUACCAGAUUGCCAUUGAUGCUGCUGCUGGCGGCAUGACUCACUCACAGCUGUUCACCAUCGCCCGCUACAUGGAGCUCCGUGGCUACCCGCUACGUGCCUUCAAGCUGGCCUCACUGGCCAUGAGCCAUCUCAACCUGGCCUACAACCAGGACACCCACCCGGCCAUCAACGAUGUGCUCUGGGCGUGUGCCCUCAGCCACUCCCUGGGCAAGAAUGAGCUGGCGGCCCUGAUUCCCCUGGUGGUGAAGAGCGUGCACUGUGCCACAGUGCUUUCAGACAUCCUACGGCGCUGCACGGUCACUGCACCUGGCCUGGCCGGCAUCCCAGGCCGCCGCAGCUCGGGAAAGCUUAUGUCCACCGACAAAGCUCCCCUGCGCCAGCUGCUGGAUGCCACCAUCAAUGCCUAUAUCAACACCACACACUCGCGCCUGACACACAUCAGCCCUCGCCACUACGGAGAGUUCAUUGAGUUUCUGAGCAAGGCCCGGGAGACCUUCCUGCUGCCGCAGGAUGGCCACCUGCAGUUUGCCCAGUUCAUCGACAACCUCAAACAAAUCUACAAAGGCAAGAAGAAGCUGAUGCUGCUGGUGCGAGAGCGCUUUGGCUGAGAGAGCAGAUAGCUCGCUGCUGGGGCAUCCUGCGCUCCCAGGUACCAUCCGGUGCGGCCAAGGACACAAACAUUUGUCCACCCUGAGAGGACUCUGAGCACCUGUGGCUGAAGCCAGAGGACCACAGGGCUAAGCAUGGGGAGAGUCCAACUCUAGCCAACAUGCCUUGUCAAGGUUCUCACAACAGCCCACUGUUCCUGGAGGAGCUGGGCCCUGCAGACCUAUCAGAAACCCCACACAUGCCACCUCACGCCCCGCUAUCCUGCGUGUCCUGGGCGUUGGCCCACUCUCCUUGGCAAACACAGAACACUGUUCCGUCUCAGGGAUUGCUUAACCAGAGAAACAGAAGCAUUUAUGGUACUGUAAAUACUAUAGUAUAUGUGUUGCCAAUUACAUUGUAAAAUUGUAACUAUUUAUAAUUCUGGUUCUAAUCUGAUGGGUAGCUGUGGGUGGGAAGAUAGGCUUGUUUUCUGAGGAGAUUCACAACCAUUUCUCAGGUUUCCCUUGCAGAGGAUAUGCUAUUGGCAGUGGAAGAGUGGGGGUGGCAGAGAGAAAAAUGGCCAUUAGAGUAAACCCCAAGUCUAGUCUAUGCAGAAACCCCGGCCUGCAGAUGGGCAUUGACAGCCCGGUGAUGGGAAGGGGCAGGGCCCGGUCUUGACUUAGACUUUCACCUCACGAAGCCAUGAGGACACAGAAGCUCUUGCUCCUGCCUCACACAGCCUCUCUCUCUGGGGGCCUGCUCCUGAGAAACAAGGGCAGGGAGAAGGUGAAGGUUUGGGAGGCCACUGGGCUCAUAAUGUUCAUCUUCUCUGGUCAUCUUUGUGUUAGACAGCAUCUGGUUUCAUCUGUAAUUACACUUGUGUGUGUGUGGAUCUGGAUGGCUACGUACAUGCAUCUGUGCGCAUAGAUAUAUCUGUGCAUGCCUGUAUGUGCACAUGUAUAUUUAUGUGUAUCUGUGUCAGAUCUGUGUCUGUGUGAAGACAUGUCUGUGUACUGGAUGGUGGGUUUCUGUGUGAGGGUAUACACAUUUGUGAACAUAUAAAAAUACAUAUCUGUGUGUGUGUUGAUGUUUGUCGAUGCAUGUGUAGUGUUUGUGUAUCUGGGCACACUGUGUAAGUGCAUGUGUAUAAACAUGUCCGUGUCUGUGUGUAACUGUGUAUAUUUCCACAUGUAGGUUUGUCUGUGAAUUCAUGUUUGAGGAUCUGCCUGAAUGUGUCCCUUCUCUUUUUGCCAGAUCUCUUGUCCCCAUUUCUCUUAUUCUCUCACCAGCUAAACACGUUCAUCUCUGUGCCUCCUUUAUUCACCAUUGUCUCACCAAACAAGCUUCUAAGCACUAGUCUCCCUCUGCCCUGAGUGGCUCCUUCAGCGCCACAUUUCUCUUCUUACCCUGUACUUGCUUUCUUCCCCUGCCUUUCUACCUCAAGCUUCCUCUGCCUGCUUCUGUCACAGUCCCACUGGUCAUUGGUUUGGAGGCUGCGGCUGGAAUGCAUUUGGCCUUUUCCUUUCUGACUAGUUUCUAGCUCUAGUGGGCAACCCCUGUCUUAGCCCUGGCUGACCUCCACAGUGUAUCAUGUUCCUGCUACCUUCCUGACCUCUCUGCUGAGCCUGGAAUUGUAAUAGGAGGUAGCACAGGCAUUCGGAAGAGUCAUUUAGAUGCCAGUGUCUUGGUGGUUACUGUUUCAUGUUUUAGUUCCUGAGUAGGGGGUGGGGUGUGACAGGGAAGGGGUGGUAUAGUUAGAGUGUGAACUAAGGACCUCUUUGUUUGCUUUACUUUCCUGUCUUUGACAAACUGUUUGUGUCACUUUUUUUUUCUCCACUCUAACCAGUAAGUUGCAUUUGCUGUUUGUGGCUACCAAAGUCUCACCGUCCAGCUACGGGCCCAACAACCUCUCAGCCCAAUAGAAUCAGAUUUGAGCAGGUACCUGGGGUACAACAAGGAUGUCGGAGAAGAUGAUGGCAGCAUCCAGAGGGAAGCGACG